AUGCCUUAUAUUUUAUUUAAAAAUGUUAAAUUGCAAGUUUAAAGAUGUCAUUACUAAGGCUUA
rnacentral:tRNA from 1 species